rnacentral:lncRNA from 1 species
UUUUCUCAAUUAUUAUUUUAUUUACUUUAUUAUGUUUUCAAGCACACAUUUCAAGCUUAGGAGAUGUACAAAAAGAUUAUCUCUAAUUAUUAGGAACUCAGCAAGUAUUACAUGGGUGAUAUUAAACCAACAAAUAAACCACCACAAAAUUUAACUUUGAAAUUAUUAAAAGCUUGGGUUGAGGAUCUUAUCCAUUGAUCAGCCUGAUGCCCAGGAAAAAAAAAUCAUGACAUCUUCCAGGCAAUCCAUGAAAAUAACUGUAUUGUCAAUGUCAUAUAUGUGAAGAGUGUUGGGGAAGAGAUCUUAAGAAAUAAGCUGCAUAUAUAAUUUUUUUUAAGUUUCAGGCAUGCUGU